rnacentral:rRNA from 1 species
GGGUUGUGAGGUUAAGCGACUAAGCGUACACGGUGGAUGCCCUGGCAGUCAGAGGCGAUGAAGGACGUGCUAAUCUGCGAUAAGCGCCGGUAAGGUGAUAUGAACCGUUAUAACCGGCGAUUUCCGAAUGGGGAAACCCAGUGUGAUUCGUCACACUAUCAUUAACUGAAUCCAUAGGUUAAUGAGGCGAACCGGGGGAACUGAAACAUCUAAGUACCCCGAGGAAAAGAAAUCAACCGAGAUUCCCCCAGUAGCGGCGAGCGAACGGGGAGGAGCCCAGAGCCUGAAUCAGCAUGUGUGUUAGUGGAAGCGUCUGGAAAGGCGCGCGAUACAGGGUGACAGCCCCGUACACAAAAGCGCAUAUGCUGUGAGCUCGAUGAGUAGGGCGGGACACGUGGUAUCCUGUCUGAAUAUGGGGGGACCAUCCUCCAAGGCUAAAUACUCCUGACUGACCGAUAGUGAACCAGUACCGUGAGGGAAAGGCGAAAAGAACCCCGGCGAGGGGAGUGAAAAAGAACCUGAAACCGUGUACGUACAAGCAGUGGGAGCACAGGUUUACCUGUGUGACUGCGUACCUUUUGUAUAAUGGGUCAGCGACUUAUAUUCUGUAGCAAGGUUAACCGUAUAGGGGAGCCGUAGGGAAACCGAGUCUUAACCGGGCGUUAAGUUGCAGGGUAUAGACCCGAAACCCGGUGAUCUAGCCAUGGGCAGGUUGAAGGUUGGGUAACACUAACUGGAGGACCGAACCGACUAAUGUUGAAAAAUUAGCGGAUGACCUGUGGCUGGGGGUGAAAGGCCAAUCAAACCGGGAGAUAGCUGGUUCUCCCCGAAAGCUAUUUAGGUAGCGCCUCGUGAAUUCAUCUCCGGGGGUAGAGCACUGUUUCGGCUAGGGGGCCAUCCCGGCUUACCAACCCGAUGCAAACUGCGAAUACCGGAGAAUGUUAUCACGGGAGACACACGGCGGGUGCUAACGUCCGUCGUGAAGAGGGAAACAACCCAGACCGCCAGCUAAGGUCCCAAAGUCAUGGUUAAGUGGGAAACGAUGUGGGAAGGCCCAGACAGCCAGGAUGUUGGCUUAGAAGCAGCCAUCAUUUAAAGAAAGCGUAAUAGCUCACUGGUCGAGUCGGCCUGCGCGGAAGAUGUAACGGGGCUAAACCAUGCACCGAAGCUGCGGCAGCGACACUGUGUGUUGUUGGGUAGGGGAGCGUUCUGUAAGCCUGUGAAGGUGGCCUGUGAGGGUUGCUGGAGGUAUCAGAAGUGCGAAUGCUGACAUAAGUAACGAUAAAGCGGGUGAAAAGCCCGCUCGCCGGAAGACCAAGGGUUCCUGUCCAACGUUAAUCGGGGCAGGGUGAGUCGACCCCUAAGGCGAGGCCGAAAGGCGUAGUCGAUGGGAAACGGGUUAAUAUUCCCGUACUUGGUGUUACUGCGAAGGGGGGACGGAGAAGGCUAUGUUGGCCGGGCGACGGUUGUCCCGGUUUAAGCGUGUAGGUGUGUGUUCCAGGUAAAUCCGGUUCACUUUAACACUGAGGCGUGAUGACGAGGCACUACGGUGCUGAAGCAACAAAUGCCCUGCUUCCAGGAAAAGCCUCUAAGCAUCAGGUAACAUCAAAUCGUACCCCAAACCGACACAGGUGGUCAGGUAGAGAAUACCAAGGCGCUUGAGAGAACUCGGGUGAAGGAACUAGGCAAAAUGGUGCCGUAACUUCGGGAGAAGGCACGCUGACACGUAGGUGAAGUGAUUUACUCACGGAGCUGAAGUCAGUCGAAGAUACCAGCUGGCUGCAACUGUUUAUUAAAAACACAGCACUGUGCAAACACGAAAGUGGACGUAUACGGUGUGACGCCUGCCCGGUGCCGGAAGGUUAAUUGAUGGGGUCAGCGCAAGCGAAGCUCCUGAUCGAAGCCCCGGUAAACGGCGGCCGUAACUAUAACGGUCCUAAGGUAGCGAAAUUCCUUGUCGGGUAAGUUCCGACCUGCACGAAUGGCGUAAUGAUGGCCAGGCUGUCUCCACCCGAGACUCAGUGAAAUUGAACUCGCUGUGAAGAUGCAGUGUACCCGCGGCAAGACGGAAAGACCCCGUGAACCUUUACUAUAGCUUGACACUGAACAUUGAGCCUUGAUGUGUAGGAUAGGUGGGAGGCUUUGAAGCGUGGACGCCAGUCUGCGUGGAGCCGACCUUGAAAUACCACCCUUUAAUGUUUGAUGUUCUAACGUGGACCCGUAAUCCGGGUUGCGGACAGUGUCUGGUGGGUAGUUUGACUGGGGCGGUCUCCUCCUAAAGAGUAACGGAGGAGCACGAAGGUUGGCUAAUCCUGGUCGGACAUCAGGAGGUUAGUGCAAUGGCAUAAGCCAGCUUGACUGCGAGCGUGACGGCGCGAGCAGGUGCGAAAGCAGGUCAUAGUGAUCCGGUGGUUCUGAAUGGAAGGGCCAUCGCUCAACGGAUAAAAGGUACUCCGGGGAUAACAGGCUGAUACCGCCCAAGAGUUCAUAUCGACGGCGGUGUUUGGCACCUCGAUGUCGGCUCAUCACAUCCUGGGGCUGAAGUAGGUCCCAAGGGUAUGGCUGUUCGCCAUUUAAAGUGGUACGCGAGCUGGGUUUAGAACGUCGUGAGACAGUUCGGUCCCUAUCUGCCGUGGGCGCUGGAGAACUGAGGGGGGCUGCUCCUAGUACGAGAGGACCGGAGUGGACGCAUCACUGGUGUUCGGGUUGUCAUGCCAAUGGCACUGCCCGGUAGCUAAAUGCGGAAGAGAUAAGUGCUGAAAGCAUCUAAGCACGAAACUUGCCCCGAGAUGAGUUCUCCCUGAGACUUAGAGUCUCCUGAAGGAACGUUGAAGACGACGACGUUGAUAGGCCGGGUGUGUAAGCGCAGCGAUGCGUUGAGCUAACCGGUACUAAUGAACCGUGAGGCUUAACCUUACAACGCCGAAG